GUAGGGAAUAUUGGUCAAUGGGCGGAAGCCUGAACCAGCCAUGCCGCGUGCAGGAAGAAGGCCCUCUGGGUUGUAAACUGCUUUUGAUAGGGAACAAAUGCCACUUGCGAGUGGAGCUGAGUGUACCUAUAGAAUAAGCACCGGCUAACUCCGUGCCAGCAGCCGCGGUAAUACGGAGGGUGCAAGCGUUGUCCGGAUUUAUUGGGUUUAAAGGGUGCGUAGGCGGCUCUUUAAGUCAGUGGUGAAAUCCUUCAGCUUAACUGGAGAACUGCCAUUGAUACUGAAGAGCUUGAGUAUAGUUGAGGUAGGCGGAAUUGACAGUGUAGCGGUGAAAUGCUUAGAUAUUGUCAAGAACACCGAUUGCGAAGGCAGCUUACUAAACUAUAACUGACGCUGAGGCACGAAAGCGUGGGUAUCAAACAGGAUUAGAAACCCCGGUAGUCC
rnacentral:rRNA from 1 species